GACGAACCGUGCGAACGUUGUUCGGAUUCAUUGGGCUUAAAGGGCGCGUAGGCGGCCGCUCAAGUCGGGGGUGAAAUCUUUCAGCUUAACUGGAAAAUAGCCUCCGAUACUGGGUGGCUGGAGGGAGAUAGGGGUGCGCGGAACUUCCGGUGGAGCGGUGAAAUGCGUAGAUAUCGGAAGGAACGCCGGUGGCGAAAGCGGCGCACUGGAUCUCCACUGACGCUGAGGCGCGAAAGCCAGGGGAGCAAAGCGGGG
rnacentral:rRNA from 1 species